AAAGAAUCCAAGCCCUUAGAUUCAGCUUUUCAGACGGCUUGGCAGACAGCGACCGCGGUAGACUGCAGGUGGCGAAUCCGUCUCCGGCGGUCGGGGGCGGCUCCCUGGGGCAGGAAUGACCGGAUCGCUGGUGACUACACUAAUUGUUAAUUUUCGGUCCAGGACGAUAGGUACGGGAGAAGGGAGACCUCGCAGCAGCGAAGGGGCUGCGGCUUUCCAAUCAGAAGCUCUGCGUCACCACGGGGAUCAAGCUCGUAUGGACAGGAAGAGGCCGCUGGAAUACAUACAAGACGAAGACGAUCAAGCUGCGAGCCGAGGGAAGCAGAAGAAGGAUGAAGAGCCGUGAUGGGAGACCAAACGGAGGACGAUUGCUGCAAAAAAGACUUUUCACCUUUUGGUGCUGGAUGUUUUCCUUAUUACUGUCUUUAUGCUUAAAAACUCUGUUUAGAGCUUAAGCUCUUGUUGUGUGCGUGCUUGUUAGCCUUGAUGGCGGCAAGCGUGUUGAACAGGAUUACUCCUGCGAACCUGGGUUGUUCCGUUAUCCUCGAUAGUGGAACACGGUCAUCUGAUCGUUUAAAAAAAAAUACGCAUUCCAUCCAUC